AGUGGAAUUGCUGGAUCAUAUGGUAGUUCUAGUUUUAAUUUUUUGAAGAAUUUCCAUACUAUUUUCCUUAAUAAUUGUACCAUUUAACAGUCCCACCAAUAAU
rnacentral:pre_miRNA from 1 species